ACGCCGGCGGCGUGCCUAACACAUGCAAGUCAACUUGACUGAAGGAGCAAUCUGACAGUAGAGUGGCGCAAGGGUGCGUAACGCGUAAGUAACUUGCCCCAAGGUAAGGAAUAACGUCGAGAAAUCGGCGCUAAUACCUCAUAAUGCAGCGGAUCCGCAUGGAUAUGUUGUUAAAGGUUUACCGCCUUGGGAUAGGCUUGCGUCUGAUUAGCUAGUUGGUGUGGUAACGGCACACCAAGGCUACGAUCAGUAACUGGUCUGAGAGGAUGAUCAGUCACACUGGAACUGAGACACGGUCCAGACUCCUACGGGAGGCAGCAGUGAGGAAUAUUGGGCAAUGCUCGAAAGAGUGACCCAGCAACGCCGCGUGGAGGAUGAAGGUAUUCUAUAUCGUAAACUCCUGUGAGAGCAGACGAAAGACAGAUUAUUAAUCUGGAUGACUGUAUGCUCAGAGGAAGCCCCGGCUAACUACGUG
rnacentral:rRNA from 1 species